GCCCAAAUUGCAAUUAUCUUAUAAUUACAAUUCCAGUCCCUUAAGUUUAAUUAAUCUCUUUUAGUCACAAAACUAAUUACCAAUUAAUUAUUGACUAAUAUUAAUUAAACAAUAUGAUUUCUCCUUUAAUAUAUAAUUCUCAUAAUAUAUUAAUAAAUCAUAUUUAAUCCUUUCUCUCCAUAAUUCAUCCUAUCAAGUUGCUUUGGUGAAGGCAACCUAAAAGGACCAUGCACCAUCGGGUCAAGUACAUACCAAAAUAGUUAUGGAUUUAGACAUUAAUCCAACAGGGCUCACCUAACACCAACCGCGAACGGGGUUUUUCACGACUAGCGUUAAUCACGGCAAAUUUUAAAAUUAUACCGCCUUAAUUUUGGUUCGCUUGACGAAUAUUAUUUAAAAUAUUCUAACGGGUUUAAAUCCGGUCGAAAAUAUUUUCGGGAUAAAUUUGGCUAAUUUUUGACGUAAUUAAUUUCGACGUUAAAAGUAAUGGAAAUUUUUUGGUUGUCACAUGAGGCAAAAAAAUCAAGUGCUCACUCUCUACUUGAUCAUCAGUCGAAACUCGCAUUCUUUACACGUUAGCUCUUGAUGUUGAUGAAGAAUGUGCAUCAUUUUCUUCAACUGAAAUUGUCAAAUCAUCAUAACGUUUCAAUUCUUCUGGGAUUCAAUUAUCGUCAACAUUUAUUUCAUCAUUGAUAGCCCUGUCAUGAACGCCAAAAAUCAAAUCAAGAUCAAUAUCAAAACUAUUCAUUUGCUUAGAUUCAACAUUUGAUUCAACAAUAAUUAGUUUUUGAAUGAAUGACUAUUCAACUCUCUUGAGAUAAUGAUCAUUAAAUGUGAUGUUGAAAGUUUCUUCUGGCUUCCUUCUCCACCUGUUCAACACCCUAUAGGCUACAGAAUUUUGAGAAUAUCCCAGGAAAAUUCCCUCGUCAGCUUUCAACUGAAAUUUUGAAAGAUUAUGCUUGAGAUUCAUGAUGAAACAUCUGCAUACAAAAACAUGAAAAAAUAUAACAUUGGGUUUCCUUUUGUUUAUAAUUCCAUAUGGUGUGAUGUCAAAACGAUGAUGAAUGAAAGAAUAAUUUUGUGUAAAGCAAGCAGUCAAAACCGCCUCUGCCCAAAAGUAUUGUGGCAGAUUCACAUAUGUAGGCAUUGUUCUCACCGCUUCACACAAGGAAUGACUUCUUUUUUUGACAGCACCAUUUUGUUGCGUUGUGUAUACAGAUGGAAAAUUAUCAGAAAUGCCUAGUUCAGUCAAAAAUGAAUCUAAAAUUCAAUUUUUAAACUCUUUUCCAUUAUCACUCUUUAUCUUUUGAACUUUCUUUUUAAGCUCAAUUCAAUGUUUUUUAUAACACUAAUCAUCACUUGAGCACUUUCAGACUUCUAUCGAAGAAAGAAAACCCAAGUAAACCUUGAAAAUCAUCAAAAAUAACUAGAAUGUACUUCUUCUUAUUGAGAGACUCAACUGUUGAAAGUCCACACAAGUCAAUGUGAAGAAGUUCCAAAGGUUCAAUGCUUUUGGAAUCAAUUAUGAUUGGAUGACCUUGACGAUGUUUUUUUUCCAUGUUCACAAGCAGUACACAACGAAUCAUUGUCAAAUUUCAAGAUAGGUAAACCACAAACAAGGUCAUUAAGAACAAGUUUAUUUAAAUUUCUUAAGUUGGGAUGAGAAAGACGUCUAUGCCAUAACCAGUUGAAAUCUAAAUAUGCUUUCGAUAGAAAACUUAUUGAGGGAAUUUCCACAAUUGGUUUCAAAUCAAGAGUGAACUAAUGGGUUAUAUACAAACAAUCAUAUGUGUGCAUGCAACCCUAGAUUUGGAUCUAUGUUUUCUCUAUUAGAUACACAAAUUUAUGAACACAUGAAGAACCCUAGCAUACACCUAGGUAUUUCGAAAUCUAUGUAGUAUAAGUGAUUACAUACCACUUUUUGUUAUAUUGCAAUAACAACACAAAUCUUCAAUCUCUUAGUCUUGAAAGCAAGUACCACAAGUGUAGUACCUUUAAUGGCUCACAAACACCACAAGCAAUUGGAGAGGCAAGAGAGAGAGAGAGAGAUAGAGAGGGAGAGGCAGGAAAUUGGAUCUAAGUCUUCUAGGGAUCAAGUGGCCGAUUUCCUAAGGCCUAAGGGGUCUUUAUAUAGGGUAUAGAUUAGGGUUUCAGUCCUUAUCCUUAUCUGGUUGCUUGCCCACCAAGCAACCCAUAAGAUAAGCCUUGAAUCCUUAUCAUGGAUGAAUUCUAAGGCCCUAUCACCUUGAAUUCAUCCACCCUAUCCAUAGGGCAUCCAUUGCCUUAAUUUGCAACUAUCACAUAAUUACAAUUCAGCCCCUCUAGUUUAAUUAAUUACUUUUGAUCACGGAAUUAAUUCUUAAUUAAUUAUGGACCAAUAUUAAUUAAACAAAUAUGAUUUCUCCUUUAAUAUAUUAUUCUUAUAAUAUAUUAAUAAAUCAUAAUAACCUCCUUCUCUAUUAUUUCUCCAGUCAAGUUGCUUUGGUGAAGGCAACCCAAAAGGACCAUGCAC
rnacentral:lncRNA from 1 species